rnacentral:rRNA from 1 species
GAUUUCUGGUUUAAUGCACCUGGCCCGCGGCCACUAGGCUUGUGAGUGCCGGCGCGCGUUUACCAUCCUUCUAGAAAACGAUUCUGCCAUUAAUUUGGUGGGGCCGCGAUCUAGAACAUUUACUUUGAAAAAAUUAGAGUGUUUAAAGCAGGCGGAAAGUCAUAAAUACAUUAGCAUGGAAUAAUAAUCUAGGACUUCGGUUCUAUUUUGUUGGUUUCUAUAACUGAAGUAAUGAUUGAUAGGGACAGUUGGGGGUGCUAGUAUUGGCCGGCCAGAGGUGAAAUUCUUGGAUUCGGUCAAGACUAACUUAUGCGAAAGCAUU